UACGGGGGGGGCAAGCGUUGUUCGGAAUUACUGGGCGUAAAGGGCGCGUAGGCGGCCUCUUAAGUCGAACGUGAAAUCCCCGGGCUCAACCCGGGAACUGCGUCCGAUACUGGGAGGCUUGAAUCCGGGAGAGGGAUGUGGAAUUCCAGGUGUAGCGGUGAAAUGCGUAGAUAUCUGGAGGAACACCGGUGGCGAAGGCGGCAUCCUGGACCGGUAUUGACGCUGAGGCGCGAAAGCCAGGGGAGCAAACGGG
rnacentral:rRNA from 1 species